ACUACAUCAUACUAGGACGUUUGAGUGCCGAUAUCAUGAAAGUUGGGGGAUAUAAGUUAUCCGCAUUAGAGAUUGAAUCAGUGAUUUUGCAGCAUCCGUCGAUCAUAGAAUGUUGUGUGUUGGGAUUACCAGACAAAGACUAUGGGGAACGUGUUUGUGCAAUUAUUGUGCUUCAGCCUAACACGAAAACAAUGACGCCUGAUGAGUCCAAGCCUACUAUGAGCUUAGAUGAACUCCGCACGUGGGCUAAAGACAAGCUUGCUCCAUACAAG
rnacentral:misc_RNA from 1 species